UCCCCUGUGGAUCAGUUGGUAGAGCAUGGCACUUGUAAUGUCAUGGUUGUGGGUUUAGUUCCCACAGGGGAC
rnacentral:tRNA from 1 species